rnacentral:pre_miRNA from 1 species
AGAGUGCUUUUGAGCCAAGGAUGACUUGCCGGGGUAAGUAUGAUCUCUUCUUAGGGUAUUGCCGGCGAGACAUCUUGGUUCAUUUGUGCUCUCU